rnacentral:rRNA from 1 species
UUUAUUGAGAGUUUGAUCCUGGCUCAGGACGAACGCUGGCGGCGUGCCUAACACAUGCAAGUCGAGCGAUGAAGUUUCCUUCGGGAAAUGGAUUAGCGGCAGACGGGUGAGUAACACGUGGGUAACCUGCCUUAUAGUGGGGGAUAGCCUUUCGAAAGGAAGAUUAAUACCGCAUAAGAUUGUAGUAUCGCAUGAUAUAGCAAUUAAAGGAGCAAU